GAGGGGUAAGCCCUCGGCGAACUGCUCCGUAAUACGCAGAUAACAUACCCUUGGGAGGGGGAUAAUCUCGGAAAACUGAGGCUAAUACCCCAUAGGCAUGAGGCACUGGAAUGUCCAUAUGCUCAAAGCCACGGCGCCCAAGGAUUGGUCUGCGCCCGAUCAGGCUGUUGUUGGUGUAACGAACCAACAAACCGAUAACCGGUACGGGUCAUGGAAGUGAGGGCCCGGAGAUGGAUUCUGAGACAUGAAUCCAGGCACUAUGGUGUGCAGCAAGCGCGAAACCUUUACAAUGCAUUCACGUGUGAUAAGGGGAUUCGGAGUGCUCCAGCAAUGCUGGAGCUUUUGUCGACUGUAAACGGGUCGGCGAAUAAGGGCUGGGUAAUACGGGUGCCAGCCGCCGCGGUAAUACCCGAGGCCCAAGUGAUGGCCCCUAUUAUUUGGUCUAAAGCGCCCGUAGCCGGACCUGUAAGUUCCUGGUGAAAUCCUCCAGUAAACUGGAGGGCGUGCUGGGAAUACUGCAGUGUCUUGAGACCGGGAGAGGGUGGAGGUACUUACGGGGGAGGGGUUAAAUCCUGUAAUCCCGUAGGGACAACCUGUGGCGAAGGCGUCCACCUGGAACGGGUCUGACGGUGAGGGACGAAAGCGUGGGUAGCGAUCGGGAUUAGAUACCCCGGCAGUCCACGCUGUAAACGAUGCCCGUUUGGUGUCACGGACUUCUUGGGAGUUCGUGGUGCCGGAGUGUAGAUGUUAAACGGGCCACCUGGGGAGUACGUCCGCAAGGAUGAAACUUAAGGGAAUUGGCGGGGUAGCACACAAGGGGUGGGCGCUGCGGUUCAAUUGGAUUCAACGCCGGAAAUCUCACCAGGGAAGACGGCAGGGUGAAGGUCAGUCUGACGGGCUUACCAGACAAGCCGAGAGGUGGUGCAUGGCCAUCGUCAGCUCGUACCGUGAGGCGUGCCGUUAAGUCGGUUAACGAGCGAGACCCACGUCUCAUGUUGCUACCUGAAUUUUCGAACUCAGGGCACUCAUGGGAGACCGCUAGUGAUAAACUAGAGGAAGGAGUGGGCGACGGUAGGUCUGUAUGCCCCGAAUUUCCUGGGCUACACGCGGUGCACAAUGCGCGCCACAAUGGGAUGCGACACCGAAAGGUGGAGCCAACCCCCUAACAGCGCGCCAAGUUCAGAUCGAGGGUUGUAACUCACCCUCGUGAAGCUGGAAUCCCUAGUAAGCGAACGUCAUCAUCGUUCGUUGAAUAUGUCCCUGCUCCUUGCACACACCGCCCGUCAAACCAACCGAGUGGAGCUUAAACGAGGCUUGCUUCAAGCCGCAAGGUUUAAAGUAACACAAGUUUCGGUUCCGCGAGGGGGGUUAAGUCGCCACAAGGUA
rnacentral:rRNA from 1 species